CCCUGGCUCAGAGUGAACGCUGGCGGCAGGCCUAACACAUGCAAGUCGAACGGCAGCACAGCAGUAGCAAUACUGUGGGUGGCGAGUGGCGGACGGGUGAGGAAUGCAUCGGAAUCUGCCUAUUUGUGGGGGAUAACGUAGGGAAACUUACGCUAAUACCGCAUACGUCCUACGGGAGAAAGUGGGGGACCUUCGGGCCUCACGCAGAUAGAUGAGCCGAUGCCGGAUUAGCUAGUUGGCGGGGUAAAGGCCCACCAAGGCGACGAUCCGUAGCUGGUCUGAGAGGAUGAUCAGCCACACUGGAACUGAGACACGGUCCAGACUCCUACGGGAGGCAGCAGUGGGGAAUAUUGGACAAUGGGCGCAAGCCUGAUCCAGCCAUGCCGCGUGUGUGAAGAAGGCCUUCGGGUUGUAAAGCACUUUUGUCCGGAAAGAAAAGCUUCGGGUUAAUAACCCCGGAGUUAUGACGGUACCGGAAGAAUAAGCACCGGCUAACU
rnacentral:rRNA from 1 species